rnacentral:rRNA from 1 species
AACGAACGCUGGCGGCAUGCCUAACACAUGCAAGUCGAACGAGACCUUCGGGUCUAGUGGCGCACGGGUGCGUAACGCGUGGGAACCUGCCCUUAGGUUCGGAAUAACUCCCCGAAAGGGGUGCUAAUACCGGAUAAUGUCUUCGGACCAAAGAUUUAUCGCCUUUGGAUGGGCCCGCGUUGGAUUAGCUAGUUGGUAGGGUAAAAGCCUACCAAGGCCACGAUCCAUAGCUGGUCUGAGAGGAUGAUCAGCCACACUGGGACUGAGACACGGCCCAGAAUCCUACGGGAGGCAGCAGUGGGGAAUAUUGGACAAUGGGCAAAAGCCUGAUCCAGCAAUGCCGCGUGAGUGAUGAAGGCCUUAGGGUUGUAAAGCUCUUUUACCCGGGAUGAUAAUGACAGUACCGGGAGAAUAAGCUCCGGCUAACUCCGUG